rnacentral:lncRNA from 1 species
AUGAUCCCUUCUAUAUCAUAUCUUGCCACUGGCAUAACUACAACGUGUAUGACUCUGGUUUUUUGCACCUCACAAGCUGGAAGAAAGCAACUCACUAACAGAAAUUUCAUGCCACUUGAAGACAGAUCCAUGUGUCUUCUUUUGUGUGGAAUGAUAAUAUUAACAGAGAAGGAUGCUUGAUUUCCUGUUUCUGACACUUCACCAGCUCCAGGAGGGAUUUUUUUUUAUUGAUGGUGAAGGUGCUAGAUUUCUAAAAAUCCCCUCUUCUUAAUUUUUCUACCAUCCUCUGAGUGCCUAGCUUGCAAGUGGCAUGCCAGAGCAGCAUACUUCCAGCCUAAAGGAUUAAAAGGGGAAGUGUAUUUUUGUGCUCAGCCUGAAUUUUGAGCAUAACCUGUUGUGGUGUUGAUGUGAGGGUCCCCGGGACAAGGUGAGAGAUAAGAAUUGACUCCAAGUUCUCAGAAGGCUGAUUUAUUAUAUUAUGGUAUUAUAUUGUAUUAAAAGAAAAUAAUAUACUAAAACUAUACUAAAGAAAGAGAAAGGUUACAGGCAGAAGGCUAGAAAGGAAUGAUAAAAACCCAUGACUGACCAGAGAGUCUGACACAGCUGGACUCCAAUUGGCCAUUAAGUAAAAACAAUUCACAUGGAACCAAUCAAAGAUUGACCUGUUGGUAAACAAUCUCUAGACCACAUUCCAAGGAAUCAGAUAAUUAUGGUUACAUUUCUUUUCUUAGGCUUCUCAGCUUCUCAAGAGGCAAAGGGAUUUUUCAUAAAAUAUCAUGGUGACACAUAACCUAGAGGAAUAUGUUUGGGACUGCAGAUGCAUCUUCUGGGAUGUCCACUUGGCUGUACCUCCUGGUGCCUGACUGGACCACAAUGUCAAAAUCAGCAACUCCUCAACUCUCUGUUUUCUCCACCCAGAGAAAUAUCUAAACUUCCAUAUCAUUACACUGUUCUUUCCACCACUGCAGUACACACUGCAAGGGAAAUGAUACUAACAGCCCUCCUCUGGGAGCCAAACUCAGGAAACCAACUUCUUUUCACCAAUGAAAUGCACAAGAACAGCCAUGUAUUUCUGUGUCAUGAUCUGAAAAAAAGCUCUCUGGGCUGGGGAGGGAACCUCGUGAGCUGGCUCAUCAGUAUCAUGGAGCACAAAGAUAUAGAGUGUCAUGCGCUCCUAAACAGAUGAAGUGAUGAACCACAAGAAAGAUGCUAAAGCAGAAAAUACAGUGCAAUGCUGAAAACUAUUUUUUAAAGGAGAAUGUUAAAGUUUUCAAAGGGAAAUAAGAACUAUGGCUUCCUACACAUCUUUUCAAACACCACCCCCACUGAGGGGACAUUUGACUGUUUGGAUUCUUUUGUUCCUCAGACCAUCCAUGACUAGCAAUGUGUUCAGUUCUCUUGUGCAUGACAACAGAUAUAUUCUGGGUAUUCCCAUAUUUAAAGCACUGUAAGUUUCUCACAGCCAUGAUUUUGCAUUCAUGUUAAUAACUAUGUUUUUUUUCUAGAUCAGUGUCUUCCUGUCUUCAUGAACAGGCACCAAAUUGAGCAUCUUUCCCAACACAUACAUGACUUGAGUUUCUUUUGGUCUCUUAGUCCAUAGCCAGGCUACGCUCUGACAAAGACCAUUUUCUUUCAAACUGUGCUAGGGCUUGCAGCAUAAAUUUAAAAGCUUUAAUCACAAAAUGGUUUAGAUGGGAAGGAAUCUUAAAGAUCAUCUAGUUUUAACCUCUUGCAAUGGUCAGGGACACCUCCUGCUACAUCAGGUUCUCCUAGGCUACCCCUUGUCAUCUCACUACACUCCCUGAGGAGGAGUUCCUCCCCCUCUUUCCCAUAGCCCCUUUAAGGCCAAGGGCAACAACAGUACACUUCAUAACAUACUGGAGCAGCUGCAACACAGGACUAAAAUAGUUUAUUCCUGUCAGACUGUAGAUGGCUGAAGUUGCCAACAGCAUUUGCCACAGCAUCUUAAUGAAGGAGAUCUAAGCAAGGAAUACAGAGAUGGUUUUGUUUCAGCAGUGGAGCUCAAAAGAUUUUGCCCUGAUGCGAUGCAUCUUGUGUGCAUGUACAAAAAUCAUUAUGAAUAAAAUGCCUUCACAGAUGGCUCCUAAAUUCUUG